UUGUUUAAAUAAAUAAUUUUCGAGGACGAAAAUAAUUGUUGUUGGGGAGAUUGUAAGAUCCUUGAAAAUAUUUGUAAGUUAGAUACUAGAUAAAAAAAAAAAAUUAAAAAAAAAAAUAGUAAAUAGUAAAUUAUGAAUAGUAAAUUGUGAAUAGUAAAAGGUGAAUAGUAAAAAGAAAAAAAAAAUUAUUUUUGGAAAGGAUAAGUAUUACACGUAGCUUUGAGAUCAGAAUUCACCAAUUUGCAAAUAAAAAAUUAUUUUUGUAAUAGUAAAAUGAAUAAAAAAAUGAAUAGUACAAAUGAAUAGUAAAAAUGAAUAGUAAAUUUUUUUACUAUAAAUAGCCAAGGGGGGAGGCUGAAAAUUUACACCAAAGAACUUAGAAAAAUGUUGAGAGAAGAGAGUUGGAAGAAUUUCUAAUUGCAAAGGGGAUAUUCUGGAAGUUUUCAGAGAGCGAGGAGAUUAAGUCUGUAAUAGAGAUAAUGUUGCAGAUGCGGUUGAAAAAGCUUAGAGAUGAGAGAGAUGCGGGGAAAAACUUUCAGGGAUUUUUGUAAAAAUAAUAAAUUUGUAUUGGGAAGAUUAUGUUGUGUAAAACUUAUAAGUUGAAAUUUCAAUGGUGAAGACUAUAUUGUUUAAAGUUUGAAAGUUUGGUAUUGUACUUUGGAGUAAUUGAAAUAAAGUUUGAUUGUUUAUAUGAGA